rnacentral:rRNA from 1 species
CCUACGGGUGGCAGCAGUGGUGAAUAUUUCGCAAUGGGCGAAAGCCUGACGCCGCGACGCCGCGUGAGGGAUGAAGGCCUUCGGGUUGUAAACCUCUUUCAGCAGGGAAGAAGCGCAAGUGACGGUACCUGCAGAAGAAGCACCGGCUAACUACGUGCCAGCAGCCGCGGUAAUACGUAGGGUGCAAGCGUUGUCCGUAAUUAUUGGGCGUAAAGAGCUCGUAGGCGGUUUGUCGCGUCUGCUGUGAAAACGCGGGGCUGAACUCGGCGCCUGCAGUGGGUACGGGCAGACUAGAGUGCAGUAGGGGAGACUGGAAUUCGUGGUGUAGAGGUGGAAUGCGGAGAUAUCAGGAAGAACACCGGUGGCGAAGGCGGGUCUCUGGGCUGUAACUGACGCUGAGGAGCGAAAGCGUGGGUAGCGAACAGGAUUAGAUACCCUUGUAGUC